UUGAACCGAUACCGAGGCAGGCCAACAGCCUGAGGGGAUAACCUGCAAUCGCAGGAGGCUGCACAGAGUGCAUUACCGAUGCCCCGCAAUACCUCAACUGCUGCCCGCUCUGGCGCACAGGUAUCGUUCA
rfam:Photorhabdus luminescens subsp. laumondii TTO1 complete genome